rnacentral:rRNA from 1 species
GGUGGGAGGCUUUGAAGCGUGGACGCCAGUCUGCGUGGAGCCGACCUUGAAAUACCACCCUUUAAUGUUUGAUGUUCUAACGUGGAUCCGUAAUCCGGGUUGCGGACAGUGUCUGGUGGGUAGUUUGACUGGGGCGGUCUCCUCCUAAAGAGUAACGGAGGAGCACGAAGGUUGGCUAAUCCUGGUCGGACAUCAGGAGGUUAGUGCAAUGGCAUAAGCCAGCUUGACUGCGAGCGUGACGGCGCGAGCAGGUGCGAAAGCAGGUCAUAGUGAUCCGGUGGUUCUGAAUGGAAGGGCCAUCGCUCAACGGAUAAAAGGUACUCCGGGGAUAACAGGCUGAUACCGCCCAAGAGUUCAUAUCGACGGCGGUGUUUGGCACCUCGAUGUCGGCUCAUCACAUCCUGGGGCUGAAGUAGGUCCCAAGGGUAUGGCUGUUCGCCAUUUAAAGUGGUACGCGAGCUGGGUUUAGAACGUCGUGAGACAGUUCGGUCCCUAUCUGCCGUGGGCGCUGGAGAACUGAGGGGGGCUGCUCCUAGUACGAGAGGACCGGAGUGGACGCAUCACUGGUGUUCGGGUUGUCAUGCCAAUGGCACUGCCCGGUAGCUAAAUGCGGAAGAGAUAAGUGCUGAAAGCAUCUAAGCACGAAACUUGCCCCGAG